rnacentral:rRNA from 1 species
GUAGGGAGCAAGCGUUGUUCGGAAUUAUUGGGCGUAAAGAGCGCGUAGGCGGCCAGGUAAGUCUGAUGUGAAAUCCCACAGCUCAACUGUGGAACUGCAUUGGAAACUGCUUGGCUAGAGUGCGGGAGAGGAGAGUGGAAUUCCCAGUGUAGAGGUGAAAUUCGUAGAUAUUGGGAGGAACACCAGUGGCGAAGGCGGCUCUCUGGACCGCAACUGACGCUGAGGCGCGAAAGCUAGGGGAGCGAACGGGAUUAGAUACCCCGGUAGUCCUAGCCGUAAACGAUGGGCACUAGGUGUGGGAGGCAUCGACCCCGUUCUGUGCCGCAGCUAACGCAUUAAGUGCCCCCCGCCUGGGGAGUACGGUCGCAAGACUA